rnacentral:rRNA from 1 species
AUUGAACGCUGGCGGAAUGCUUUACACAUGCAAGUCGAACGGCAGCACGGACUUCGGUCUGGUGGCGAGUGGCGUACGGGUGAGUAAUGUAUCGGAACGUGCCCAGUCGUGGGGGAUAACGUAGUGAAAAUUACGCUAAUACCGCAUACGAUCUAUGGAUGAAAGCGGGGGAUCGCAAGACCUCGCGCGAUUGGAGCGGCCGAUAUCAGAUUAGGUAGUUGGUGGGGUAAAGGCCCACCAAGCCAACGAUCUGUAGCUGGUCUGAGAGGACGACCAGCCACACUGGAACUGAGACACGGUCCAGACUCCUACGGGAGGCAGCAGUGGGGAAUGUUGGACAAUGGGCGAAAGCCUGAUCCAGCCAUUCCGCGUGCAGGAUGAAGGCCCUCGGGUUGUAAACUGCUUUUGUACAGAACGAAAAGGUUUCUACUAAUACUAGGAGCUCAUGACGGUACUGUAAGAAUAAGCACCGGCUAACUACGUGCCAGCCGCCGCAGUAA